UACGUAGGGGGCAAGCGUUGUCCGGAAUCAUUGGGCGUAAAGAGCGUGUAGGCGGCUCGGUAAGUCCGCUGUGAAAGUCCAGGGCUCAACCCUGGAAUGCCGGUGGAAACUGUCGAGCUAGAGUCCGGAAGAGGCGAGUGGAAUUCCUGGUGUAGCGGUGAAAUGCGCAGAUAUCGGGAAGAACACCCGUGGCGAAGGCGGCACUCUGGGACGGUACUGACGCUGAGACGCGAAAGCGUGGGGAGCGAACAGG
rnacentral:rRNA from 1 species